GGGCUAAUCACGGUUGGACAUCGUGAGGUUAGUGCAAUGGCAUAAGCCCGCUUGACUGCGAGAAUGACAAUUCGAGCAGGUGCGAAAGCAGGUCAUAGUGAUCCGGUGGUUCUGAAUGGAAGGGCCAUCGCUCAACGGAUAAAAGGUACUCCGGGGAUAACAGGCUGAUACCGCCCAAGAGUUCAUAUCGACGGCGGUGUUUGGCACCUCGAUGUCGGCUCAUCACAUCCUGGGGCUGAAGUCGGUCCCAAGGGUAUGGCUGUUCGCCAUUUAAAGUGGUACGCGAGCUGGGUUUAGAACGUCGUGAGACAGUUCGGUCCCUAUCUGCCGUGGGCGUUGGAAGAUUGAAGGGGGCUGCUCCUAGUACGAGAGGACCGGAGUGGACGAACCUCUGGUGUUCGGGUUGUGUCGCCAGACGCAUUGCCCGGUAGCUAAGUUCGGAAUCGAUAACCGCUGAAAGCAUCUAAGCGGGAAGCGAGCCCUGAGAUGAGUCUUCCCUGAUACUUUAAGUAUCCUAAAGGGUUGUCGGAGACUACGACGUUGAUAGGUCAGGUGUGUAAGUGCUGUGAGGCAUUGAGCUAACUGAUACUAAUUGCCCGUGAGGCUUAACCAUACAACACCCAAGGGGUUU
rnacentral:rRNA from 1 species